rnacentral:snRNA from 1 species
GUGCUUGUUUGGCAGCACAUAUAAUAAAGUUGGAAGGAUACAGAGAAGAUUAGCCCUGCACAAGGAUGACAUGCAAAUUCAUGAAGUGUUUCACAUUAAA